rnacentral:rRNA from 1 species
CACAUGCAAGUCGAGGGGCAUCAGGAUGUAGCAAUACAUUGCUGGCGACCGGCGCACGGGUGAGUAACACGUAUCCAACCUGCCUUUUACUCGGGGAUAGGCUUUCGAAAGAAAGAUUAACACCCGAUGGUAUAAUAUUUCCGCAUGGGAUUAUUAUUAAAGAAUUUCGGUAAAAGAUGGGGAUGCGUUCCAUUAGGCAGUUGGCGGGGUAACGGCCCACCAAACCUUCGAUGGAUAGGGGUUCUGAGAGGAAGGUCCCCCACAUUGGAACUGAGACACGGUCCAAACUCCUACGGGAGGCAGCAGUGAGGAAUAUUGGUCAAUGGGCGAAAGCCUGAACCAGCCAAGUAGCGUGAAGGAUGACUGCCCUAUGGGUUGUAAACUUCUUUUAUAGGGGAAUAAAAUGAGCCACGUGUGGCUUUUUGUAUGUACCCUAUGAAUAAGGAUCGGCUAACUCCGUGCCAGCAGCCGCGGUAAUACGGAGGAUCCGAGCGUUAUCCGGAUUUAUUGGGUUUAAAGGGAGCGUAGGUGGACAUGUAAGUCAGUUGUGAAAGUUUGCGGCUCAACCGUAAAAUUGCAGUUGAUACUGUGUGUCUUGAGUACAGUAGAGGUGGGCGGAAUUCGUGGUGUAGCGGUGAAAUGCUUAGA